GAGAGAGAGAAGGAGAAUAUAUAUUUUUUAUGCCUUCAUACCUGACCACUGUGUACUUUAACCUUCUGAAGGCAAUUGAGUAGUGACUGGAAGAAAUAGCAUUAAUCAUUCUUACACCACAGUAGUUGAUUUUUGAUUCCAAUGCAUGGCAAAUGAAUAGUUCAUAUUUGUAUAAAAUUGAAUCUUAAUCAUCUUAGUAAACCCAAAACUCUGUUUCUGAUGUGUUAAGUGUUUUGUUUCAGGGAUAUUCUACUACAUUCAUUUAAAUCUACCACUUCACUUACAGGGAGCUUUCAGCAAGCAUGAUGAUAAAGCUGGAGAAAAGCAGAAACACUGAAUUUUAAGUUGAUUACAAAUAAAUACUUAUUCAGCUUUCUUGUGGCAUUUGUUUCCUUAACAGUAAUAUUCUUUAAAACACAAAAUCAGAAAGGUCAAUAGAAUAGCUGAUUCUACCAACGAUGAAGAGUGAGAUUCUUUUAGACAUCCACAGUCAUCACAUUACAUACGUAAAUUUCAAGGAGCCAAUAUCCAAUUUUCUGUAGUUUCUUUCUUCCCACACAUGUCACACUUCAAAUUCGUUUUGACAACUAAACAAUGUUUCCUUUAUUUCAUUAUAAUUCCCUUAUCUAGAGUCAAAGCUUCAUGACAAUUUCAUAGAAAGAAACAUGAAAAGACUUUCUGGUAGAUAGAUUCCUUAUUUUAAAGAUUUCUUACAAAGAUAUGUUGGUAAACAAUCCAGCUGCAUGGGUUGUUGAAGGCAGUAUCUAACUCCUACCCGACCUCACUCACAAAUCCCAUUGCAGAUCCAAUCCUCAUUGUUAUUAUCAUUCUAUCUUUGUUUUAAGAAAGCCAGAUUAUUCUUCAUCACCUUGUUUCUGUGUAUUCUUUUCUUGAAGCUGUGUUAAUAUUCUACCAUCAUCACAUACACUCUAAAUUUACUAAAUGCAAUUUAAAAAUCAGUUGUUGCUUGUGUCAGAUAUAUUAACUCCUUUUUUUUUUUUUU
ensembl:lncRNA